rnacentral:lncRNA from 10 species
AGUGGCGUGGCUACACCGUGGCCUCAAGGAGCCAGUCCUGCCCGGAUGGGGCUCGCCGGAUCGGUUUCGGUUUUCACGCACUCCCAUUUCUGUGGCCGCUGUGCAUUCGCGGAGUGUUCUCUGCUGCUUCUGGGUCCUGACAGUCUUGAAAAGAUCCAGCUGCUGAACUGUAGCCAUGUUGCUCACAGCUUGAGGUGCAGCAGUCUGAACCACCCGGCGGCUGAGAAGAGGAACCAAAUGAGGAACUAUUCCAGAGUCUACUACCAUCUGUAUUUGUUCAUUGCCAGCACCAGUAAGGUAAGAGAGGGCCCAGUCUGUAUCUACUAAUAUAUUUACAAAUGUAUGAUGAAUUAGAACACAAAGAGCUGAAAGCAUUUCCUGUAUGGUUUCCAUUGGUGGUGGUGGCUCUUUGUGGUGACAUAAAUUGGCCAUAACCCAGGCUGGGCAUGGUGGCUCACACUUGGAAUGCUAGCACUUUGGGAGGCUGAGGCAGGAGGAUUCUUGAGUCCAGGAGUUAGAGACCAGCCUAGGCAACAUGGUGAGACCCUGUCUCUACAAACAAUUUAAACAUUUAGCUGGGUGUGGUGGCACGCACUUG